rnacentral:tRNA from 1 species
AAGGAUUUAGGUUAAAUAAACUCGUAGCCUUCAAAGUUAUCAAUAAAGAAAAUCUUUAAGCCUUA